UUCUUAGCUUAGUAGUAACCGUGCAUAAAGGUGAAAAUACCCAGAGAGUUAAGAAGGAAUGUGCAACCAUCCGUCUGUAAAGGCGGUAAAUUGAUGGCUGGCCUGAUAUAAGGCUGGCGCACCGUAUCGGUGUCCCUGAGCAGACCGGCGGGACGAUUCUUUCAUGGCGGGGCCUGUGCAUACCCCGUUUCAUCACCGGUUUGCAAACCUGAUUAGAGCGCACACUAUAAGUAGCAGGAAGGGCGUAGAUUCUUUGAACAAUCGGC
rnacentral:sRNA from 12 species